UACACACCGCCCGUCACACCACGAGAGUUUGUAACACCCGAAGUCGGUGAGGUAACCUAUUAGGAGCCAGCCGCCUAAGGUGGGAUAGAUGAUUGGGGUGAAGUCGUAACAAGGUAGCCGUAUCGGAAGGUGCGGCUGGAUCACCUCCUUUCUAAGGAA
rnacentral:rRNA from 1 species